CCUACGGGGUGGCAGCAGUGAGGAAUAUUGGUCAAUGGGAGAGAUCCUGAACCAGCCAAGCCGCGUGAGGGAAGACGCCCUUCUGGGUUGUAAACUUUUUUUGUCGGAGACCAAAACCCGGGCCGUGUCCCGGACUGCGUGUACCCGAAGAAAAAGCAUCGGCUAACUCCGUGCCAGCAGCCGCGGUAAUACGGAGGAUGCGAGCGUUAUCCGGAUUUAUUGGGUUUAAAGGGUGCGUAGGCGGUCCGGUAAGUCAGCGGUAAAAUUGCGGGUCUCAACCCCGUCGAGCCGUUGAAACUGGCAGACGUGAGUGGGCGAGAAGUACGCGGAAUGCGCGGUGUAGCGGUGAAAUGCAUAGAUAUCGCGCAGAACUCCGAUUGCGAAGGCAGCAUACCGGCGCCAGACUGACGCUGAGGCACGAAAGCGUGGGGAUCGAACAGGAUUAGAUACCCGUGUAGUC
rnacentral:rRNA from 1 species